rnacentral:rRNA from 1 species
GACGUAGGGUGCGAGCGUUGUCCGGAUUUACUGGGCGCAAAGGACGCGUAGGCGGUCCGUUAAGUGUGAAGUGAAAUCUCCAGAGCUCAACUCGGAAACUGCUUCGCAUACUGGCGGACUAGAGGGAUGCAGAGGUAGCUAGAAUUCCUGGUGUAGCGGUGAAAUGCGUUGAUAUCAGGAGGAAUACCCAUGGCGAAGGCAGGCUACUGGGCAUCAUCUGACGCUGAGGCGUGAAAGCGUGGGUAGCAAACAGGAUUAGAUACCCUGGUAGUCCACGCCCUAAACGAUGGAUACUAGACGUAAGAGGUAUCGACCCCUCUUGUGUCGCAGCUAACGCACUAAGUAUCCCGCCUGGGGACUACGGCCGCAAGGUUGAAACUCAAAUGAAUUGACGGGGACCCGCACAAGCGGUGGAGCAUGUGGAUUAAUUCGAUACUAACCGAAGAACCUUACCCAGGUUUGACAUCGAUCGUAAGCCCUAGAGAUAGGGCCCUCUUCCCAAAAGGAAGACGUGAAGACACUUGUUGCAUGGCUGUCGUCAGCUCGUGCCGUGAGGUGUACGGUUAAGUCCGCCAACGAGCGCAACCCUCGUCCUAUGUUGCCAGCGAGAAAGUCGGGAACUCAUAGGAGACCGCCGGUGUAAGCCGGAGGAAGGUGGGGAUGAUGUCAAGUCAGCAUGGCAGUUACGCCUGGGGCUUCACACAUGCUACAAUGGGCGAAACAAAGGGACGCAAUAUCGCGAGAUGGAGCUAAUCCCAAAAAUACGCCCCCAGUUCAGAUUGCAGUCUGCAACUCGACUGCAUGAAGGCGGAAUCGCUAGUAAACGCAGGUCAGCUAUACUGCGUUGAAUACGUUCCCGGGUCUUGUACACACCGCCCGUCAAGUCACCUGAAUUGUCUUCACCCGAAAUACGUGGCCUAACCGCAAGGAAGGAGCGUCCUAAGGUGAGGGGAGUAAGGGGGACU